rnacentral:rRNA from 1 species
UACGGGGGGGAGCAAGCGUUGUUCGGAUUUACUGGACGUAAAGGGCGCGUAGGCGGCCAGCACAAGUCAGUUGUGAAAUCUCCGAGCUUAACUCGGAAAGGUCAACUGAUACUGUGCGGCUAGAGUGCGGAAGGGGCAACUGGAAUUCUUGGUGUAGCGGUGAAAUGCGUAGAUAUCGAAGAGGAACACCUGCGGCGAAGGCGGGUUGCUGGGCCGACACGUGACGCUGAGGCGCGAAAGCUAGGGGAGCGAACGGG